UGGCCAAGAAAAGUUUCCUCAGGGGAUAACAUUUGAACAGAGACUGGGCAGAUACUUGGGGGAAGAAUGUUCUAGACCCGUGGUCAGCUGACUGUGUCCCUUGAACCAAAUCUGGCUGGCCACUUGCUUUUGUAAACAGAGUGUGAUUGGAGCCCAGCCACGCCCAUUUGUUUCCCUGUCAUCCAUGGCUGCUUUCUCACUGUUGUGGCAGAGCUGAGGAAUUGUGACUGGGGCCUCCUGGCCCAACAGUAUCUGGCCCUGGACAGAGGAAGUUUGCCAGCUUCUGAUCCAGGCAGGAGCAGAGUGCAUAUGCCCUUCUUUACCUGUCUAUUCCCCCAGCGAUGGACACCUACGUUGUCCCAAACUCUUUGGCGCCACGAGAGACAACCCUUCAAUCAACAUCCUUCCCAGGUCACGGGGUUUACCUGUGUGGGAUUCCAGGAGUGGAGCUUCUUGAUAGAUUUAAGGUGAGCAGGGGAGCGGAAAACUGCCGACAGCCUAUUGUAAUCAGAUCAGAACACCUGCCUCGUCCCAUCCCACUGUACAGCACUCUUUUCAUACUGGGGUUGUUGAUUCUCUCGGGGACGAACGUGGCUUUGUUUAGGGCCUGUCCUACCUCUGGCUCAUUCAUUCUCAGGGGUUUGCCUGUGUCAUCAAACGUGGAGAAUGAAUGAACCAGGCAUCUGGGACCAGGGACCACAUUUACACAGGCACUGGGAAAACCAGAAAGGCCUGGGAAAUGUCAGGGGCGGGGAGGGGAUGUGGUGCUGUUCUGAACUGCGGUGUUGUAACCUCUCCGUAGUAUAGAUUUUUAGAAUGUGUGUUUGUGUUUCAUCUUCCUUCAAGGUCCUCCAGUCUAGCCCAGAAGCUUCCUGGGCUUCUGGGAAAGAAAGUCCAGAUUUUUCUCUGGACUUUAUAGCAUGUAGUAACUGUGCCAUUCAUCAGCAAUCAAUCACGCAUCGCCCCGUGCCAUCUCUCUAAGCUUGUGCGAGAACACAGGGUUCUUGGUUAGACCGUGGCUCCCAUGCCUGGCUGGUCCCUGCAUGGCUGACUCCGGGAUUUUAUGUGGCAGGUUCAGUGAAGAUGGAUGGAUUGAUUGACGGCCCAGACCAUUGAUAGGACAGCAACGGCGGAAUCAGAGGUUUCUGGCUGACUCGGUGGGUGCUUUGUACCAGGAAAGGACAAGAAAGAGGAUGGGAAGGAGGACUGAUCCACGUUCCCACCAGGAAGCUUAGUGGAACCCCCGUAUGCCACCUGGACCCCCUGGAAGGACCUGGCCAAGGCUGAACCACCUCUUGAGAGGCAAGAGCUCCAAAUUUGAUCAGAAAUUCUUGGCUGGGCAUGGUGCCUCAUGCCUAUAAUCCCAACACUUUGGGAAACCGAGGUGGGAGGAUCGCUUGAGCCUGGGAGUUCAAGACCAGCCUGGGCAAUAUAAGGAGACCCCAUCUCUAAAGAAUAGUAAUAAUAAAAUAAAAAAUUAGCAGGGCAUGGUGGCAUGUGCCUGUAGUCCCAGCUACCCAGGAGGCUGAGGCAAGAGGAUGGCUGGAGCCUGGGACGUUGAGGCUGCAAUGAACUGUGAUUACCCCACUGCACUCCAGCCUGGGCAACAGAGCGAGAGACCCUGUCUCAAAAUAAUACUACUAAUAAUCUUAUUUUGGAGAAUAAAGAAACCUCUGGAUUUGAGGAGCCAUUUGGAUAGAAAGCAAAGACCUUCACAAUGAGAAAUAGUCUGUGUUGACCUGAAGGAGCAGAGGGAUGCAUCACUGGAGGUGACCUACAGUUGGAGAAGACUCAUUAUGCCAGACCUUGUCCUUCUUCCUUGUGGAAAAUGUUUCCCCUGCUGCUGCUGCUCAUGAGACUCUUCCCCCUCCCUGUCUCAGGCAACCAAAGGGCUUUCUACCACACCCUUUCUUGCCCCCCGCCUCCCAUGUCUGCUGUGCCUUUGUACUCAGCAAUUCUUGUUUGCUCCAUUAUCUUCCAGCCGGAUACAGAGUGAAUAGUUAACCACACUUAGGUCAAAUAGGAUCUGAAUUUUUGUUCCUGCUCCAUCUAAAGAGGCCAGUGUUUGUGCGUUGCAAGCAGCCUCGGAAUAGUAACUCUUCUCAUUUGUUUGGGAUCUCAUUGUAUUCCUCAGCCAUCAAGUUCCAGAAUGAUACAUGGAUCAGUGCAGAAGUUCAUCAGGCUCUCGGACCUUAGGGCUGUUGGAGAAGUCUUCAGCAGGGGAACUGAUGGUGAAGGCUGGUGUUCUCCAUCCUCAACUUUCUUUGCUUGGAUCACACAUAAGUAUACAUUUGGAAGGGCAAAAAAUGAACACUGUUGUUCACUGCAGCCAUGUUUUGUGACACAGAUGCAGUCUGCUGUGAAGACCUUCUCGCAAGUGGCAGUUGGGGGUCCAUGCCAGAUCAUGGUGCUUCGUGACAGACUAACAGCUACCAGGGAUGGUGGCACUUAGUGAGGACCCUCCUCCCCCAGUGUGUGCUGAUGACACAUACACACCUGACAAUAGCUUGAGUCUUCUCUGUUCUUUUUUACUCUGUGGCCACCAUACACAUGAUUUAAAACCCUUCCUAAAUAUCUAUCAUGGUUCACCCUUGUCCAAAUGCAGAGUCAAAGCUACUUGUACUUUAUUAUUAUUUCCAAGGCAAAUAGAUGGCUUGCUUUUUACAAAAAGAAUUAAAGCUUUUGUAUGUUGCAGUUG